rnacentral:rRNA from 1 species
AAUGGACGAAAGUCUGACGGAGCGACGUCGCGUGGGUGAUGAAGGCGGAAACGUUGUAAAGCCCUUUUAUAGACGAGGAAUAAGCUUUGGAGGGAAUGCCAGGGUGAUGACGGUAGUCUGUGAAUAAGCCCCGGCUAAUUACGUGCCAGCAGCCGCGGUAACACGUAUGGGGCGAGCGUUGUUCGGAAUUAUUGGGCGUAAAGGGUAUGCAGGCGGUUUUCCAAGUCUGGUGUGUAAGACUUCAGCUUAACUGAAGGAGCGCGCUGGAAACUGGGAGACUAGAGUACAGGAAGGGGAGUUGGAAUUCCAGGUGUAGGGGUGAAAUCUGUAGAUAUCUGGAAGAACAUCAGUGGCGAAGGCGAACUCCUGGCCAUGUACUGACGCUGAGGUACGAAAGCGUGGGGAGCAAA